rnacentral:rRNA from 1 species
UACGUAGGUGGCAAGCGUUGUUCGGAUUUACUGGGCGUAAAGGGCGAGUAGGUGGCCAUCUAAGUCAGACGUGAAAUCCCCCGGCUUAACCUGGGAACUGCGUCUGAUACUGGACGGCUUGAGUAUGGGAGAGGAACGUAGAAUUCCAGGUGUAGCGGUGAAAUGCGUAGAUAUCUGGAGGAAUACCGGUGGCGAAGGCGGCGUUCUGGACCAUUACUGACACUGAAUCGCGAAAGCUAGGGGAGCAAACGGG